AUGAAGCUGGAAUCGCUAGUAAUCGCAAAUCAGAAUGUUGCGGUGAAUACGUUCCCGGGUCUUGUACACACCGCCCGUCACACCAUGGGAGUCGGAUAUGCCCGAAGCCAGUGACCUAACCGUAAGGAAGGAGCUGUCGAAGGUGGAGCCGAUAACUGGGGUGAAGUCGUAACAAGGUAUC
rnacentral:rRNA from 1 species